rnacentral:rRNA from 1 species
GUCCUAAUCAUGCAGUCGAGCGAACGAAGAGCUUGCUCUUCGACGUUAGCGGCGGACGGGUGAGUAACACGUGGGCAACCUACCUUAUAGUUGGGAUACUCCGGGAAACCGGGGCUAAUACCGAAUAUCUAUACUUCAUGGUGAAAUACUGAAGACGGUCGGCUGUCGACUAUAAGAUGGGCCCGCGGGCAUACUAGUGGUGAGGUACG